rnacentral:tRNA from 1 species
UCCUGGGUGGCUCAGAUGGUAAAGCGUCCACCUAUAAUGCGGGUGACCCGGGUUCAAUCCCUGGGUCGGGGAG